CUACCUCUGAUUACCAAGCCCGGUCUCUUGCCACUAAGCCACUCUGCUUUUCAGUACUGUUUCUACAGUAUGUAUCAACUGAAGUUUUUUAGGAGCAAAACACUAUCCACUUUACCUAGUUGGUCACACCCCUGAAGUAAUGGAACCAGAUGGACCUCAACCAUCUUUUAUUUCUAAUUCUUAGGUGCUUUUUAUGCAACAAUUUUUUUGAUGUCCCCAACUCAAAACCUCCAUUCUAGGGAAUGCCUUCAAAGAUGAGGAAACAUAUCCCUUCUUCUUACGGUACCUAAUUUUUCAUUCUUAAAGUACUGGUAACAAACACUGUAAUAUGCAUAGCAAUAGGGUGCUGAUGUUAAUUCAUUCUUUUUCCAUUUGUGGCUUGCUGAUGGUGAGAAAAUACUCCUUGGUAUCAUGAACACCUUUUAAAGUAUUUCAUGCAAAAGGAAAUAUUUCCAGGUUAAAAACAAAAGUGAGCAAUAGGCACAUAGACAUAAAUGAGUGUGAAAAGUGGGUAACAGGAUGACACAGCUAAGAAGGUGGGGAUUAAUUGAGGACUUUGAAGGUGGACAGAUGUGGAUUUGCAUAGGGAAGGAAUUCUGUUUUUUUGUUGGAAUGUGAGAAUGGGUAGCUCUCAGAGGAAUUUUUUUGAGGCGAAUGAGAAGUUCUGAAUUAAUGUCACUUGAACUGAGCAGAUCUGUGUAGGAUAGGUUGAAUAAAGGAGAGAUUUGAGGGACUCUGCUGCAGACAAGAAUUUGAAUCAAGGUAGUGGUCAAAGAGCGGAGAGGAGGGGACGGGUCUGGGGAAUGCUGCCGAGGAUUUAGAGAUGCCUGAAUGUGCAAGAGUACAGCUUCUUGUUCUCAGCUACAAACAUAAAACAGUUUUUACCGCUCCCCCACCCCAGGCAGGUGGAAGCUUUGCAGGCCUAAAAUACCAGCAAGUCCAAGAGGGAUAUGGGUGACGAGAAAAAGGUUAGGGAUGUGGAGGAGAAAAGUUAAGGAUGUUCAAUGGCUGAGGAGGAAUGGACAUCAUGUGGUUCCUUCAGUCAUUCUGGUGCCACUGUCAGAGACAACACCUAGCUGGGUGGACUUUUGGUGUGAUUCUGGAAUGACAUUAUGGUUCUUAUGUUCUUCUUUUUAGCCUGUCUACUCUCCUGCUGCACCUGACCUGCUAUUCUUUAUGGGCUUUUCUGUUCUCAUUUGAGUGAGCUCUUCAUUUUUUAAUGGAUAACUUUGUCCUGCUGGAGGCCUCUUUUUUUUUUUUUUUUUUACCCUGCUAACCACACUAGAUUUCUUCUGUGGCAAACAUUUUUCCUGGCUCUCAAAUAUAAUGGUUUUAAACAGCCUUCAGCAUUGUCAUCGACUCAGUUCAGCUUUUCCCCAAGCUUGGUGCUGUCAUAGCGCUAUCUAAACAUGUAAUGGCCUUUUGUUGUUGGGUUUUGGUUUUUUUUUUGGCCUUCCCUUCAGCAAGAAUGUUCUUGAAUUACAUCGAGAUCACAAUUGUGGAGUGUCUCCCCCCAUUUGAAUGAACUUUUCAAGUUAAUCCAGGACAUGGAGAAGAUGGAGCUCUGCAGGGAGAGAUGAAUCAUCAACCUGCCGGCCAGAAACCAAAGCGCUUGUCAAGAGCCUGGAUCAAAAUGGUCAUGGAGAGAUUGGACCGGCUCAUCAGGUCCAACAGCUAGUACUCAAUGCUGCUUCUACAUGUGGCAACAAAUGAUACUGUCUGAGCCCACUCACAGUGUAAUGUGAAUUCAGGACGCCCACACACUCGGAGUCAGUCUCUUUUCAACCGGAACCCAUCCCAUAAAGAAAAAGAAGCAUAUUUUGGGGAUCAGAGUGGUUCACCUGAGAGAGCUUUACACUCUUGGACAGAGAUAGAUUUACGAAGCCCAAAGAGAUCCAGAGAUGAUGAAAGAGGUCAGUCAACCAGGGAACUUGGAACAGUCCCCAGGCACACCAGGAAAGGAGCAGACAGGAAUGAGCUACUAGGUGAAGGUAUGUGGCAUCUUCAUCCCUGGAGAUUGUGGAGAACCCUCAGUCCCAGAUUGACUAAUUGUUCACCUGCCUCUAGAGAAGGGGUAAGCAAACAAUCUUUCAAGGUUUCUUUCCACUGCUGUGAUUUUACACUGAUUAGCAGAUACCUGUUAUAUAUUCCUCCUAACAUUCCUGAUCCAAAUUGCAAUCUGUUCCUUGCCUGCUUUUUUUCUUUGCAGUGUGGUGCAAAGCUAUUUUUAUUUUCCAUUAAUUCAGUAGGAAUAGCAGAUCAGGUGAAAAUUGACUUGUGGUAUCUACUAUUGAGGAUCUACAGGCUGUUUAGUGGACAUCUCCCAAGUUUCUGUAAGUCUUCAAUUGUUUUCAAACCAUCCGUUUACUUAGAUUCCUCUAUUCUGAAACAUUUUUAGGAGGAUCUUGUCUUUUUUUUCUUUACCAGUGACUUUAGCCUGUAAUACUUUCCACAAAAUCUGUAGCAAAGGGUUGUUGCUGGGUUGUCUGAAUAUAGCAGGGAUAAAGGAAAUUUCUGGUUGAAGAUAUCAGGGUAAGCCUUACAUUAGGCGUGCCAAUCCAAUGUUAAAGGAGACAAUGGGUACACCAUUGGAGGCACAUGCAACUCAUUGUUGUGGGCAGGGAAUAUGUCUACCAACUCUCUUGUACUGUACUCUCCCAAGCACUUAGUACAGUGCUCUCCACAAAGCACCCAAUAAAUAUUAUUGAGUGAUGAAAUUGUCUCCAAAUCUAUCUUGGGAACCCUGAUGUCAGAAUUUAAACAUGAUUUUUGCUUUUCCAUCACUUGGCCCUUUCCUCUUAUAAUAAUAAUAAUGAU